UACGUAGGGCGCAAGCGUUGUCCGGAAUUAUUGGGCGUAAAGAGCUCGUAGGCGGCCUGUUACGUCUGCUGUGAAAUCCCGGGGCUUAACCCCGGGCGUGCAGUGGAUACGGGCAGGCUGGAGGCAGGCAGGGGAGAACGGAAUUCCCGGUGUGGCGGUGAAAUGCGUAGAUAUCGGGAGGAACACCGGUGGCGAAGGCGGUUCUCUGGGCCUGUACUGACGCUGAGGAGCGAAAGCGUGGGGAGCGAACAGG
rnacentral:rRNA from 1 species